rnacentral:tRNA from 1 species
AAGGAGUUAGUUAAAAUAUAACAUUAGAAUGUCAAUCUAAAAUAACUAAAAUAGUACACCUUG